AUGAUCAAGUUAUUAAGGCACAUAGAGGAUACCUUGGCACUGCAAGUCGAUGAAGGACGUGAUUGGCUGCGAUAAGCCUCGGGGAGCUGUCAAAAUAGCUGUGAGCCGGGGAUCUCCGAAUGGGAAAACCUAUAUUGGCUAAUACCAAUAUAUCCUUUGCCUUUGGCAGAGGGUGACAACCCGCUGAACUGAAACAUCUCAGUAAGCGGAGGAAAAGAAAACAAUAGUGAUUUCGGGAGUAGUGGCGAGCGAAACCGAAAGAGCCUAAACUUUUCGAUUUUAUCGAGAAGGGUUGCGGGACUGCGCUGUGGGACUUAUUAAAUCUAGUAGAACCACUCUGGAAUGUGUGGCCAUAGAAGGUGAAAGCCCUGUAUACGAAAGAUUUAAUGGCCCUAGCAGUAUCCCAAGUACAACGGGACACGAGAAAUCCCGUUGGAAUCAGGGAGGACCAUCUCCUAAGGCUAAAUACUCUGCAGUGACCGAUAGUGAACUAGUACCGUGAGGGAAAGGUGAAAAGAACCCAGGAAUGGGAGUGAAAUAGAACUUGAAACUGUGUGCUUACAAGCAGUUGGAGUCCCGCCUUUGGCGGGAUGACAGCAUGCCUAUUGAAGAAUGAGCCGGCGACUUACGGUUGCAAGCAAGCUUAGGGUGGUGAGUCCGAGGCGUAGCGAAAGCGAGUCUGAAUAGGGCGAUUAGUUUGCAGCUGUAGACCCGAAACCGAUAGCGAUCUAUCCUUGAGCAGGAUGAAUCCCGAGUAACAUCGGGAGGAGGUCCGAACCGGUGGAUGUUGAAAAAUCCUCGGAUGACUUGUGGAUAGCAGUGAAAAGCUAAACGAGCUCGGAGAUAGCUGGUUCUCCUCGAAAUGGUUUUAGGGCCAGCCUCAAGUUUACCCAUACGGGGGUAGAGUACAGUUUGGACUAGGGUCCCGAGAGGGAUUCCAACUCCUCGCUAACUCCGAAUACCGUAUGGCCAAUGCUUGGGAGUGAGACUACGAGGGAUAAGCCUCGUGGUCAAAAGGGAAACAGCCCAGACCGUCAGCUAAGGUUCCUAAAUACAAGCUAAGUGGGAAAGGAAGUGGAGAUACUUAAACAGCCAGGAGGUUGGCUUAGAAGCAGCCAUCCUUUAAAGAGUGCGUAACAGCUCACUGGUCGAGUGUUUUCGCGCCGAAAAUUCACGGAGCUCAAGCUUGUUACCGAAGCUACGGAUGUCCCGAUUAUAUCGGGGCGUGGUAGAGGAGCGUUCCAUGUUAGGUUGAAGUUGAGCUGCGAGGCUCGAUGGACGAAAUGGAAGUGAGAAUGUCGGCAUAAGUAACGAAAAGGUAGGUGGAAAUCCUACCCGCCGAAAGUCUAAGGUUUCCUGGGGAAGGUUCGUCCGCCCAGGGUAAGUCGAUUUCUAAGCUGAGGCCAGGUUAAUUGGCGUAGGCGAAGGUAAACCGGUUAAUAUUCCGGUACCACCUGUAUUGUUAACCAAAGGGACGCAGAAGGAUAGCUCAUAACGCUUAUUGGAUUACGGUUGCCUUGCAUUUUGCAGGGAUAGUGAGUGAGUCCACGCUGACGAGAAAAGCUUUGGGCAUUGGUGCAGGUGAUCGUACUACAAACCGACACAGGUGGACAGGCUGAACAAGCCAAGGCGCGCGAGAUAACUCUCUCUAAGGAACUAGGCAAAUUGGUUCCGUAACUUCGGGAGAAGGAACGCCCUGACGCAAGUCAGGGUCGCAGAUACUAGCUCCAUGCAACUGUUUAACAAAAACACAGCUCUCUGCUAACCCGUAAGGGGAUGUAUAGGGGGCGAUGCCUGCCCAGUGCUGGAACGUUAAGGAGUGGCCUGAGAUUAUAUCAGGGGCCUAACCGAAGCGCCAGUGAACGGCGGCCGUAACUAUAACGGUCCUAAGGUAGCGAAAUUCCUUGUCGGGUAAGUUCCGACCCGCACGAAAGGUAGAAUGACAUGGAGACUGUCUCGGAGAGAGACUCGGUGAAAUUGGGAUGUCCGUGAAGACACGGAUUACCUGCAUCAGGACAGAAAGACCCCGUGGAGCUUUACUGCAUCUUAACUUUGAGUUUCGAUGUCUUUUGCGUAGCAUAGGUGGGAGGUGUUGAUACCAUCCUUCUGGGGAUGGAGGAGCCAUCAGUGAAAUACCACCCUGAAUACGUUGGAGUUCUAACCCUGGUUGUGUAGACUGGGAAACAGAGUUAGGUGGGCAGUUUGACUGGGGCGGUCGCCUCCCAAAGAAUAACGGAGGCGUGCAAAGGUUCCCUCAGUACGGUUGGAAAUCGUACGUCGAGUGUAAAGGCAUAAGGGAGCUUGACUGCAAGACAUACAAGUCGAGCAGGGACGAAAGUCGGCCUUAGUGAUCCGGUGGUCCCGGAUGGAAGGGCCAUCGCUCAACGGAUAAAAGUUACCCCGGGGAUAACAGGCUUAUCUCCCCCAAGAGUUCACAUCGACGGGGAGGUUUGGCACCUCGAUGUCGGCUCGUCGCAUCCUGGAGCUGGAGCAGGUUCCAAGGGUUGGGCUGUUCGCCCAUUAAAGCGGUACGUGAGCUGGGUUCAGAACGUCGUGAGACAGUUUGGUCCAUAUCCGGUGCAGGCGCAGGAAACUUGAGAGGAGUUCUUCCUAGUACGAGAGGACCGGAAGGAACAGACCUCUAGUGUACCAGUUGUCACGCCAGUGGCAAACGCUGGGUAGCUAUGUUUGGAAGGGAUAAACGCUGAAAGCAUCUAAGCGUCAAGCCCCCCUCAAGAUUAGGUUUCCCAUUUGCCUUCGGGCAGAGUAAGACUCCUUGCAGAACACAAGGUUGAUAGGCUGGAGGUGUAAGAGUAGUAAUGCUUUGAGCUGACCAGUACUAAUAAGUCGAGGACUUGAUCUUCCCUCUA
rnacentral:rRNA from 1 species